CAGACAUACAACAUGGAUAAUUCAUAACAAAGGGGACAAAUUCUUGGCAGUGUAUAGACGAAUUGUAGAUCCUUAUCAACAGACAUACAACAUGGAUAAUUCAUAACAAAGGGGACAAAUUCUUGGCAGUGUAUAGACGAAUUGUAGAUACUUAUCAACAGACAUACAACAUGGAUAAUUCAUAGCAAAGGGGACAAAUUCUUGGCAGUGUAUAGACGAAUGGUAGAUCCUUGUCAACAAACAGACAAAAAUAACAUGAAUAACUCAUAGCAAAGGGAGAUUAUAGGACAGACAUAUCACAUUAUGAGUACUUAAUCGGUGUUAUUACAGAAAUUGUGUCAUUAGCAUAAGUUAUAAUGAUUUACUGUAAAC
rnacentral:lncRNA from 1 species